UGGACAGAUUAUUGUAUUCGACUGUAUUCAUAGCGUGAAAUAGGGGAUUACACUGUUUUUAAAAUAGAAAUUGAAUCAAUUAACAUAAUAGACUCCU
rfam:Nicotiana sylvestris Nsyl_contig134, whole genome shotgun sequence.